CGCGGGGUGGAGCGGCCCGGUAGCUCGUCAGGCUCAUAACCUGAAGGUCACAGGUUCAAAUCCUGUCCCCGCACCCA
rnacentral:tRNA from 1 species